rnacentral:rRNA from 1 species
GACGAACGCUGGCGGCGUGCUUAACACAUGCAAGUCGAGCGGAGCGGCGAACGGGUGAGUAACGCGGGAGUAACUGCCCCCCUCUCUGGGCUAACAGUUGGAAACGGCUGCUAAUACCGGAUAGUGGGGGAUGACUCGCGUCCUAUCAGCUGGUUGGUGGGGUAGUGGCCUACCAAGGCGACGACGGGUAGCCGGCCUGAGGGGGCGACCGGCCACAUUAGGCUGAAAUACGGGCCAAACUCCUCCAGGGGGCAACAGUGGGGAAUAUUGCACAAUGGGGGAAACACUGAUGCAGCAACGCCGCGUGCGGGAUGACGGCAUUCGGGUUGUGAACCGCUUUCAACCAUGACGCGUUAGUGGCAGAAGAAGCACCGGCUAACUACGUGCCAGCAGCCGCGGUAAUUC